UACGGAGGAUGCAAGCGUUAUCCGGGAUGAUUGGGCGUAAAGAGCGUGUAGGCGGCCAGGUAGGUCGGUUGUGAAAACUGGAGGCUCAACCUUCAGAGGUCGACCGAAACCAUCUGGCUAGAGUCCGGGAGAGGAGAGUGGAAUUCCUGGUGUAGCGGUGAAAUGCGCAGAUAUCAGGAAGAACACCCGUGGCGAAAGCGGCUCUCUGGAACGGUACUGACGCUGAGGCGCGAAAGCGUGGGGAGCGAACAGG
rnacentral:rRNA from 1 species